rnacentral:rRNA from 1 species
CCCUUAGAUGUUCUGGGCUGCACGCGCGCUACACUGAGUGGAUCAGCGGGUCAGGUUGCGCGAAAGUGUUUCCUAAUCUUUAAAUCCGCUCGUGAUGGGGAUUGACGGUUGCAAUUUUCCGUCAUGAACGAGGAAUACCUUGUAAGCGCGGGUCAUCAUCCCGCGCUGAAUACGUCCCUGCCCUUUGUACACACCGCCCGUCGCUCCUACCGAUUGAGUGGUCCGGUGAGGCUUUGGGAUCUGAGCGGAAAGAGCGUUUCGCUGUUUCUGCCCGGAAAACUCAGUCGAACCUUAUCAUUUAGAGGAAGGAGAAGUCGUAACA